GACAGAGGGUGCGAACGUUGCUCGGAAUCACUGGGCGUAAAGCGCGUGUAGGCGGACGAUCAAGUCAGGUGUGAAAUCCCUGGGCUCAACCCAGGAACUGCAUCUGAAACUGGUUGCCUUGAGUGUUGGAGAGGGAAGCGGAAUUCCUGGUGUAGAGGUGAAAUUCGUAGAUAUCAGGAGGAACACCGGUGGCGAAGGCGGCUUCCUGGACAAUUACUGACGCUGAGACGCGAAAGCGUGGGGAGCAAACAGG
rnacentral:rRNA from 1 species